GGUUAUCCUGGAAGGAAGGAAACUGAAGUUUAUUCCACAGGCACUCUGUCUUUAUUCCUGUAAUGGGAACAUUGCAUUGAGAAUAUAGAGCCAUAUAGAAAAUGCAUCUAAAGGAGCAAGAUACUCGCUUCAUUGGCUUGAGCAGAGCUUCCAUCAGGCUUGUUACUGACAAACUUCAGAAUUUGAACACAUCAGCAAACUAAUCCCAGUUCUAGAUUGUCAGCUGACUCUUGUAGUUUUCUUAGGUGAGUCUUCUAGUUCCUUGGAAAGCUGUCUUUACACUUGCAGCAGAAUGUUAAUAUUUCUAUCUCGUGGAAUUUAAUCUGAACUCAAGGAAGAAUUUGCCUUAGUGGAUUUCUGAUAUUCCUGUCUGAGCUGAGGAGUGCAGAACCCAUGAAGUGAUUGGUCCAGUAAUGCAAAGGAAGGACUAAGAACAGAGCUCAGAUCUCCCAAAACCCAGCCCCUUUAUUUGUACCUUGUCAGCAGCAGCUGUCAUCUGUGAUUUUUGGAUGGAGCCUGUCUGGACAUCUGCAAUUUGGAAAAAUCAGGUGGAACUAGAACAAAUAAUUUCUUUGUAAAUAAAUGUGGUGUUUAAAAUUAUAUGCUAAAAUAUGCAAAUAAAGUGUCUGUU